rnacentral:sRNA from 1 species
UCGCACCCUGUCGGGAGAAUGUGUGCCCUGCGACUGUAAUGGCAAUUCCAACGAGUGUUUGGACGGCUCAGGAUUCUGUGUGCACUGCCAGCGGAACACAACAGGAGAGCACUGUGAAAAGUGUCUGGAUGGUUAUAUCGGAGAUUCCAUCAGGGGAGCACCCCGAUUCUGCCAGCCGUGCCCCUGUCCCCUGCCCCACUUGGCCAAUUUUGCAGAAUCCUGCUAUAGGAAAAAUGGAGCUGUUCGGUGCAUUUGUAAUGAAAAUUAUGCUGGACCUAACUGUGAAAGGCCUUCUCCGCAGAGCACGAGAGGCUUUCCACUGAAUGACUCCUG